rnacentral:lncRNA from 10 species
UUAGAGUUUUACUUUGCAAUAGUACAAUUCAUACAACAAAUGUUAAUGGUUAUAAUCACUAAUAUUCACAGUCGUUGAGUAAGAAGCAAGAACAAGUAUGAGCUGGAAAAGCGUGAAAAUUAAAAACUUCUCACUAGACCUUGAGGGAAUUUCUCUUUCGAUGUGAAGAAUUCCCAGCACGGAAUAGAAACACAUUUUGAAUGUGACUCACUCAAUAACAUAAUUAAUCUUCACUUAAUAAAAUCUCAGGGACUCUCCUCUCUCCCCACCUUCUCUCUUCCAGAGUUUUGUAAAACACUUUAUAAAAAUCCACCACGGAAACUGUUGCCAUUUGUCGGGGAUGUAGAAAGGAAGGAGGAGAGUCACUCUCACCUUUGCAAUGAAAAAUUGGACCAUACAUGCAGGACUUUUUAAACAUUCUUUAGAGAGUUGAGGUCAGAGCAAACAACUGCCUGAAAAGCCAAAGAUCAACAGCGCCU